GCUGAUUCCAAUCCCACCUGAAACCAACAAAAAAACCCAGCAGACUGGACAAAUUUGCACUGAGGGUCUUGAUGAUAAAUCCAGUAUGAAAAUGAAAUGCCAAUUUAAUUCAACAAGGUUCCAGCUCAGAAGUGGCCUGGGACGCCAAGGACCUGUAACCUGGGAGUGGCUUGGAAAGAAGGGACAGAGCCACCAACCUCAUAUGGCUUUUGAGAAGAUUAAAUGAGAUCCUGU